rnacentral:lncRNA from 1 species
UUUUUAGCUGAGAAGUGACAGGAUCCAAAUUGUACUUAUUAAAAACAAUAAAGAAUCCUGAUGUCUUUUACUCAGGAUUUACAGUCUAGGAGGUGAAAGUGAAAAAGAAAACAAAACGAACAAAAACUUAGGGUUAAACUGUCAAGACAAGUAUGAUCAGAUCUUUUGUCCAUUUGAAUAAAUAUUCGGGGACACCUACCAUGGGACUAUUGCACCUCUUAUGGUGGUCAGUCUUGGGAGAAAAAGCUAGCUGGGCCACGUCCCUGCCUUUGAGACCAGCCAUCUGAUAUCUUUCCAGGUCUGUGAUUUUUGGGGAAUACAGUAAGUGUAACAAGGAUGACAGUAAACACCCUUUGAGAGUCUUCCUUGGUCAGUCUUAUGAAGAAUAUAAAAUAUGCAACACGACCAUGGCCUCAAGGAAUUUACUGUCAUUCAUUGCAGGAGACAAGGAAAGAUAUAUAGAAAUUAAAAUUUAAGAAUGACAAAAGAAUAACAGUGAUACAAAAUAGAGAAAGUUUUAUCUUUCCUGGGACAGAAGAUUUGCCAAAUUAAUGUCACUAGUUCAGAAUGAUAGUUUCAGUGACUGCUACCACCAUCUAUCAGUGAUAGAUGCUUUUCUUCUAGAGCAUUGCCUUGUCUGUCUCUGGGCUUGUGUUUGUAAAUGGAGGAACUUCUGUACAGCACUAAAUGGCAGAUGAUUCGGCCACUAAGUGUAAAUAGCUCAUGUGAUUUGAGAAGCAUGAAUAAGAAGAAAAACAUUACUAUUUAUUGAGCUCUCACUAUGUGCUAGGUCCUGUUCUGGGCAUUUUUUUUUUUCUUUUUUGUUUUCUAGGGCUGCACCAUGGCAUAUGGAAGUUCCUGGGCUAGGGGUUGAAUCAGAGCUGCACUUACUGGCCUACAGCAUAGCCACAGCAGUGGCAGAUCCGAGCCACAUCUCCUACACUGCAGCUUGCUGCUUGUGGCAAUGCCAGAUCCUCAAGCCACUGAGGGAGACCAGGGAUCGAAUCUGUAUCCUUAUGGAUACUAGUCAGGUUCUUAGCCCACUGAGCCACAACGGGAACUCCUCGAGGCAUUGUAAUGUAUUAACUCAUUUUAUUCUUGCAACUCUAAGCGCUUUUUGGGGGGUGUUCCCAGUCUAGAGGUCUAAUUGGAGCUACAGCUGCCGACCUGUGCCACAACCACAGCAAUGCCGGAUCCUUAACCUACUGAGCGAGGCCAGGAAUUGAACCUGCAACCUCAUAGUUCCAAGUUGGAUUCAUUUUCACUGAGCCACAACAGAAACCCCUAACUUUCCCCAGAUCUUUUAAUUGGCAAUGCGGGAGCCAGAAUUCUCCAAAACAGUCUGUAUGCUGCGGAGAUCAUGUUCCAAAUUAUGCUGCUGAUAAAGUUUAUUUCUACUCCAACAGUUUUUUCUUUUAUUACCAACAAACAGAUCCGAACUUGUUUUCAAAGAGUUUACAAGCAUUUAAAGGAUUAGAUGACAUAGUGGUAGAUAUUGAAAAUCUUACCUUUCAUUAUUUACCUUUUGAAUGGCAAGCUCUGAAUUGGAGUAGCUUUAAAAAUACCCGAGAUAUGUGAGUGCAGACUUUAUUUGUGCGAUCACAGUUCUUAUCUCUCUCGAUUUGGGCAUCUUUAGGUCUGAGAAGCUUGAUUUCCUUGUAUGAAGCAGUUAUUGUCAUUACUCUGUCAUAUUCUGGAAAGAAUUCCUAUUCUUUAGGCCUAGCAUUCCCUAAGUGUUCUGUUGGUUAUGAUGUUUUCAAACAGCUCCUUUAGUGGAUGGAUUAUAGAAAUGAGGGGUCCUUGAGAAGAGAUAAGCUCUGCCAUUUAAUAGCUGAAUGGCCUCUGGCAAGUUAUUCUAAAUCUUUGUUUCCUCAGCUAUAAAUGAGGGUAAUGAUAGUAUGUACCUCAUGGUGUUAAAUUUGGAAUAUUAACUGAAGCACUAUUUUAAAGCACUUGGGACAGUUCAUGGUACAUACUAAGCAAUAAUUGAAAAUCCUGUUUAUUAUGUCCAUGACUCCAAAAACCGUGUAUUUUCUUCUAGGCAAAAUAUCAGAACCACAUAGCUUAAUGUGUUCAAAAUAACACUUUCACGGACUUUAAGUUAUUUGAUUUUUAUAAGACCCUUUUAGAUGAGUAAUGCUAUAUUACUACAAAUAUGUAUUUUUAAAAUGAGAAGCUUAAAGGUCAUGGUGAUUAGGUGACUUGUCCCUGGCUGCUCAUCUAAAUGUGGGUUAAAGGUGAGCUAAAGCUAGGACUUCAAUGCAUCUCUCUCGACACCUUCUCCCGACUUCUGUUCCAUCAUUCUGUAUUGUUUCUUUUCAGGAGUCCUAUUCACUUGCAGUGUAUAUUCUAUCCACCCCCAUGUGUGUUGUGGUGUGUUUGAGUGAUGGGUUAUACCUUAACUUGGCUUGUCAAGUUAGACGGUGGUAUGUUCAGCAAACUCAAACUAAUAUCUCAUCUUUUUGUAUAUUUUUGGUUUUCCCCAAAAUGGUAUAUUUUAAGUUGUGUUUUGGUCACACACAAAAAAGCAAGUUAAAAACAAAACCAAGG